CCCAGCUGCAGCCAACUGCCUCGGCUGCCUUGUGCCUAGGCAAGUGUCACACUGCUGGGAGAAAAGCAGCCAAGAGCUGGCAGGCUUUCUGGGCCUGGUUAAU
ensembl:snoRNA SNORA74 Small nucleolar RNA SNORA74